rnacentral:rRNA from 1 species
GCUUCUCUGAUGUUAGCGGCGGACGGGUGAGUAACACGUGGAUAACCUACCUAUAAGACUGGGAUAACUUCGGGAAACCGGAGCUAAUACCGGAUAAUAUUUUGAACCGCAUGGUUCAAAAGUGAAAGACGGUCUUGCUGUCACUUAUAGAUGGAUCCGCGCUGCAUUAGCUAGUUGGUAAGGUAACGGCUUACCAAGGCAACGAUGCAUAGCCGACCUGAGAGGGUGAUCGGCCACACUGGAACUGAGACACGGUCCAGACUCCUACGGGAGGCAGCAGUAGGGAAUCUUCCGCAAUGGGCGAAAGCCUGACGGAGCAACGCCGCGUGAGUGAUGAAGGUCUUCGGAUCGUAAAACUCUGUUAUUAGGGAAGAACAUAUGUGUAAGUAACUGUGCACAUCUUGACGGUACCUAAUCAGAAAGCCACGGCUAACUACGUGCCAGCAGCCGCGGUAAUACGUAGGUGGCAAGCGUUAUCCGGAAUUAUUGGGCGUAAAGCGCGCGUAGGCGGUUUUUUAAGUCUGAUGUGAAAGCCCACGGCUCAACCGUGGAGGGUCAUUGGAAACUGGAAAACUUGAGUGCAGAAGAGGAAAGUGGAAUUCCAUGUGUAGCGGUGAAAUGCGCAGAGAUAUGGAGGAACACCGGUGGCGAAGGCGACUUUCUGGUCUGUAACUGACGCUGAUGUGCGAAAGCGUGGGGAUCAAACAGGAUUAGAUACCUGGUAGUCCACGCCGUAAACGAUGAGUGCUAAGUGUUAGGGGGUUUCCGCCCCUUAGUGCUGCAGCUAACGCAUUAAGCACUCCGCCUGGGGAGUACGACCGCAAGGUUG